AUGGACACGCCCAUGCCGAAACGGCCUCGCCUCGUGCUGGCACCGGCGCCUCGGACAAUCGCCAACAUGGCCCCGGAGAUCCUCCUCCGCCUCCCUUCACAUGACCCUGCGCGCCUUGUGCGCGCCUCCCUCGUCUGCUGGCGCUGGCGCCGCCUCCUCACCGACCCGGCGUACCUCCGCCGCUACCGCGCAUUCCAUCGAACACCUCCCAUGCUCGGCUUCAUCCUCAACCUGAAGCAGCACUACCAAGGCAUGGCCCAGCUCGUCCCCACCUCCUCUUUCUGCACCGUCGCCUCCAACCGCCCCGGCCUGAAUGUGCUGGACGCCCGCCACGGCCGCGUGCUCCUCCACACCGCUCAGGGCCAGCGCCUCGUCGUCUGGGACCCCGUCAUAGGUGAAGAGUGCAAGAUCUCUCGCAUGCCGGCCGACGCGCUCGGCUUCAACGCGGCCGUGCUCUGCGUUGCGGUCGGCUGCGACCACCUCGACAGUCAUGGUGGACCCUUUCGUGUCACCUUCAUGGGAUGCGGCAAACGCAACAUCACGUUCGCUUGCACCUACUCGUUGGAGGCCGGUGCCUAG
rnacentral:rRNA from 1 species